rnacentral:rRNA from 1 species
AACGAACGCUGGCGGCAGGCUUAACACAUGCAAGUCGAGCGCCCCGCAAGGGGAGCGGCAGACGGGUGAGUAACGCGUGGGAACGUACCCUUUACUACGGAACAACUCCGGGAAACUGGAGCUAAUACCGUAUGUGCCCUUUGGGGGAAAGAUUUAUCGGUAAAGGAUCGGCCCGCGUUGGAUUAGCUAGUUGGUGGGGUAAAGGCCUCCCAAGGCGACGAUCCAUAGCUGGUCUGAGAGGAUGAUCAGCCACAUUGGGACUGAGACACGGCCCAAACUCCUACGGGAGGCAGCAGUGGGGAAUAUUGGACAAUGGGCGCAAGCCUGAUCCAGCCAUGCCGCGUGAAUGAUGAAGGCCUUAGGGUUGUAAAGUUCUUUCACCGGAGAAGAUAAUGACGGUAUCCGGAGAAGAAGCCCCGGCUAACUUCGUGCCAGCCGCCGCCGUAAGAC